AGUGAACGCUGGCGGUAGGCCUAGCACAUGCAAGUCGAACGGCAGCACAGUAAGAGCUUGCUCUUACGGGUGGCGAGUGGCGGACGGGUGAGGAAUACAUCGGAAUCUACUUUUUCGUGGGGGAUAACGUAGGGAAACUUACGCUAAUACCGCAUACGACCUACGGGUGAAAGCAGGGGAUCUUCGGACCUUGCGCGAUUGAAUGAGCCGAUGUCGGAUUAGCUAGUUGGCGGGGUAAAGGCCCACCAAGGCGACGAUCCGUAGCUGGUCUGAGAGGAUGGACCGGCCAAAUUGAAACGAAAAGACGGUCCGAACCCCAACGGGGGGCCGAGGGGGGAAAGUUGGGCAAGGGGGGGAAAGCCUGAUCCGGCCAACCCGGGGGGGGGAAGAAGGCCUUCGGGUUGUAAAGCCUUUUUGUGGGGAAAAAAAAGCGGCAGUUUAAUCCCCCGGUGUUUGGAGGGUACCCAAAAAAAAAACCCCGGCUAAUUUGGU
rnacentral:rRNA from 1 species